AGAAUGAGAGUUUAGACAUUGAGAGGUUCUCAGACUCGUUGAAGCCGAAGAGCAAGUCUAAUAAUAAGGGAUCUUUUUAUGAUUUUCUUGUUCUUAGACCUGAUAACUUCCCUAAAGAACUUCUUGGAGAUACUCGAAGAGAACGGCCUGUGAAGAGAGCAAAAUGGAGUCAAGAAGCAGAUUUGUUGAAAUUGGAUGUGUUUGAAAAGCUUGAAGCUAAGCAUAAGGCUGAAGGCACGGAAGCGAAAGAAGAAGGAGAAGAUGAAGAAGAAGUUGAAGAAUCAGAUGGAGAAGAAUCUGAUAACGGAGAUUAUGAUCAGAAUCAAGACUUUGAUGAUGAUGACGAUGAUUAUAAUCAGGCGGAUGAUGAUUUUGAAGCAGUUUAUUGAGAGCACCCUUCUGUUUCCCGAAAGAAUCAAGUUUUGCAGACAACAGAAGCUGAGCCUGUCCCAAGCUUUAGGGGUUUUAGCUGAAACCGUUCAAAUCAAACUGUUUCGGACGCGUUCUGCCAUACUCUCCGUCACGUGUAUUAAGCUGUACGGGUCUUUUGGUUCUAGGAAACUAAAGUCUGGAUAUUCUGGUGACACUUUAGUUUCUCAUUCUUCGAGUUGAGCUUUGUUGCUUCAAUUUCAGCUGCACCUAAGUUCUGUCUUCCAAGAGUCUCUUGUCCUUUUUCCAGAAUUGAUUACAGGUACUUUCCUUGAGCCUCCUCUAUCCUGAGCUGCAAAUGUCGCUAUACCUGGCUCAGUUUAAUACUAUGUUUUAAUGAAAUCAUAUAAACUAAAUGCUUAGUUCUUGUCUCUUUUUCAUGAGAGUUACUGAACUUGGCUCGACUUGAUUGGUCUUGUUACUACACAUAUAGGAACAAAAUUUCCAGAUAACACUUAUUGCUGCCUUAAUUAUAGUGAAUCCACAGAGUACAGUAUAUGAUACCUCAAGUUGCUCGUGUAGCCUUCUCUGAAUUUCUGUUUGCAUUUGAACGGCAUCAUCACUUAUGGGCAAGUUCCUGGUUGCACUAAUCCCUCACUGUUUCUUUCGUCUGCUUCAGAGGGAUUUUCAUCUACCAUGGUCAUCACACCUUAAAACAGGCUACUUAGUACUUAAUGUCUAUAAGCCUGAUUAUCAAAGAUAAUUGUAUUAAGCUAAUACUAAUAGCAUGACUUGCUAUCUCCUGGAAGCUGGCUUCAUUAAUUGAAUAAUUACAUGAUAUUACAUAAGGUUUACAUU